rnacentral:lncRNA from 1 species
CCAGCACGGUGGAACAGGCUCUUGGCUGUGGACCAAGGUCCUCAUCCCUGCUGUGCUGUCCCUGGCUGGCAGCAGGAGCCCAGGCAGAAACAUGAGGCUGCGGUUAAACCGAGCAAUGCCACGAGCAUCAGCUGUGGCUCCCUUUGUGGCGCUGUAGGGUCCCUGGGUGGCACCAGCCCUGCUCAGCACCACUGUGGCCCU